AACUGGAUGGCCUAGUGGUAAAGGCAUCACAUUGAUAUUGUGUCUUGGCUUCCAUGCUGAGGUCCCAGGUUUGAAUCCUGGUUUAGUCA